AAUGAACGCUGGCGGCAGGCCUAACACAUGCAAGUCGAACGGAUCCUUCGGGAUUAGUGGCGGACGGGUGAGUAACGCGUGGGAACAUACCCUUUGGUACGGAAUAGCCUCGGUAAACUGGGAGUAAUACCGUAUGUGGUAGAUAGACGAAAGAUUUAUCGCCAAGGAACUGGCCCGCGUUGGAGUAGGUAGUUGGUGGGGUAAUGGCCUACCAAGCCGACGAUCCAUAGCUGGUUUGAGAGGAUGAUAAGGCACACUGGGACUGAGACACGGCCCAGACUCCUACGGGAGGCAGCAGUGGGGAAUCUUAGACAAUGGGGGAAACCCUGAUCUAGCCAUGCCGCGUGAUCGAUGAAGGCCUUAGGGUUGUAAAGAUCUUUCAGGUGGGAAGAUAAUGACUGUACCACCAGAAGAAGCCCCGGCUAACUCCGUGCCAGCCGCCGCCGUAA
rnacentral:rRNA from 1 species